CGUACCAAAUCUGACACAGGAGGGCGAGGCGAAUAGCCUCAGGCGCGCGAGAGAACCCUACGUGAAGGAACUCGGCAAAUUAACCCCGUAAGUUCGCGAUAAGGGGUGCCCCCCGUAAGGGGGGCCACAGGAAAACGACAGCUGCGACUGUUUACUAAAAACACAGGUCUCUGCGAAGUCGUCAAAGACGACGUAUAGGGACUGACGCUUGCCCGCUGUUGGAACGUUAAGGUGACUGGUUAGCCGCAAGGCGAGGCUGGGAACCGAAGCGCCAAUGAAGGGCGGCCGUAACAAUGACGGUCCUAAGGUAGCGAAAUUCCUUGUCGGGUAAGUUCCGACCCGCACGAAUAGCGUAACGACAGCUGUACUGUCUCCACGAGGGACUCGGCGAAAUUGUAGUUGUGGUGAAGAUGCCACAUACCCGCACCAAGACGGAAAGACCCCGUGAACCUUUAUUGUAACCUAAUACUGGCUCUAGGUUCGCCAUGUGUAGCAUAGGUGGGAGACGUUAAUGUCGGGGGCGCCAGCCUCCGAAUAGUCUUCAGUGAAAUACCACUCUUGGCGAUCUUGGAGUCUGACCUGCGACCGUUAUCCGGCGUGGGAACAGUGUUAGGCGGGCAGUUUGACUGGGGCGGUCUCCUCCUAGAAGGUAACGGAGGAGUGCAAAGGUACCCUCAAUGCGGUUGGCAAUCGCAUGAAGAGCGUAAAGGUAUAAGGGUGCUUGACUGCGAGACACAUAGGUCGAGCAGGUACGAAAGUAGGUCUUAGUGAUCCGGUGGUCCCGUGUGGAAGGGCCAUCGCUCAUCAGAUAAAAGGUACUCCGGGGAUAACAGGCUGAUCACGCCCAAGAGUCCAUAUCGACGGCGUGGUUUGGCACCUCGAUGUCGGCUCAUCGCAUCCUGGGGCUGAAGGCGGUCCCAAGGGUUGGUCUGUUCGCCCAUUAAAGCGGUACGUGAGCUGGGUUUAGACCGUCGUGAGACAGGUCGGUCCCUAUCUGGUGUGGGCGCAGGAUGAUUGCGGAGACUCUUUCCUAGUACGAGAGGAUUGGAAAGAACGGACCUCUGGUGUGCCAGUUGUCGCACUAGCGGCAUCGCUGGAUAGCUAUGUCCGGGCUGGAUAAGCGCUGAAAGCAUCUAAGUGCGAAGCCAACUCCAAGACUGGUCAUCCCAUGAGACACCUGGUAGACCACCAGGUUGAUAGGCCGGAAGUGUAAGGACAGCAAUGUUCUCAGCUAACCGGUACUAACCAGUCGAUCGGCUUGAUUU
rnacentral:rRNA from 1 species